UAUAGAUGUAACCAUAUAUUAUGGAAAAUGAAUCCUUUUGUGUGGUUCUGGAGACAUCAUAAUGAACCACGGAAUUGAUAACGAGUUGUUCAUAGUUAAUAAAUGUCUUCAGAAUCCAGCGAUGGCAUUAUUUUCCCAUAAUACAUGGCUCACUGUUACGUAUCUUUUAUAUUAUUUGAUAUAUUUAGGCUAGAGUUAGUGUAAUAAGUGCUUAG